rnacentral:misc_RNA from 1 species
UCACCUCAAUCCUAAUAGUUUUGCGACUAUUAAGAUUGGAUUUGGGAGUCUGCUGGCCCUCUCUUUGGGUCGGCUCUCCUUGAAUGCAUGAGUGAGCGUCUGACUCGCGUCGCUGGUGUGAUAGUUAUUUCACCAUUGAGGCGCUUGUCUAAUGAGCUUGCUUUCGAACCGUCUUCUCAUUGGAGACACUACUUGACAU